UCAGGUACUGCUCCACGUACAGAGGCCACGACACGCCAUGCCACGGGCACGGGCUCUUCAGCAUCGAAUUCCAUCGGUAUGUGAGUAUGUCACGAAGCAGCAUGUGUACAAUGUCAUCAAACGCCUCCGAGUCAGUGUUGACGACAACCUUGUCCACACGGCAGGCACAGAGUGAGCAGAAGCAGUGUGGCCAUGGACGUUAAGUACCCAUACGUCGGCACUGCGAGCUCGCGGGCCGCGUCCAUCAUGGUGGUAGCAAAGAAGUCUAUGAUGAGCGCGACGGAGAUCCGCCAUGCCGGCCCUGAUGUGGUUUGUUUUCAUAGAUGUGCAACGCCCCUUCUUUCCUACAGUUGUUGAGAAUUUCCCUCAUAAAAAUCAGAGUUUGUUUUCACUUAAUAGCAGGAAAGGAAGAUGAGCCUUUGGAUCUGCUUGGACGGUACGAACCACUGCAGAGGAGCCGAACUCCAGAAGGGGUGGCAGCAAUGACAAAUUAGUGGCAGAACUGAGACCACGAAAAAAAUUAUGGUUAAAACUUAUUUCGACGGGCAGAAUAUAUUGUGCAUUUUGAAACGGAGGAAGAUAAGAGAUGAUAGAAUAGCACUGGUGGAUCUCUAUUACUCUCGGAUAAUCUCUCGCGGUAGUUUGAUUUGGUAGCGAUUACAGAAGACCUACAAGAAUGGGGAAGAACAGGGGGGAAUCUUGGGAGAGGGGAAAGUAGUUGGUAGCGGCCGGGUUCGCGGUUG
rnacentral:lncRNA from 1 species